AACGGAAAGGCCCUGCUUGCAGGGUACUCGAGUGGCGAACGGGUGAGUAACACGUGGGUGAUCUGCCCUGCACUUCGGGAUAAGCCUGGGAAACUGGGUCUAAUACCGGAUAGGAGCCAUUUUUAGUGUGAUGGUUGGAAAGUUUUUUCGGUGUACGAUGAGCUCGCGGCCUAUCAGCCUUGUUGGUGGGGUAAUGGCCUACCAAGGCGGCGACGGGUAGCCGGCCUGAGAGGGUGGACGGCCACAUUGGGACUGAGAUACGGCCCAGACCCCUACGGGAGGCAGCAGUGGGGAAUAUUGCACAAUGGGCGCAAGCCUGAUGCAGCGACGCCGCGUGGGGGAUGACGGCCUUCGGGUUGUAAACUCCUUUCGCUAGGGACGAAGCUUUUUGUGACGGUACCUAGAUAAGAAGCACCGGCUAACUACGUGCCAGCAGCCGCGGUAAUACGUAGGGUGCGAGCGUUGUCCGGAAUUACUGGGCGUAAAGGGCUCGUAGGUGGUUUGUCGCGUCGUCUGUGAAAUUCCGGGGCUUAACUCCGGGCGUGCAGGCGAUACGGGCAUAACUUGAGUACUGUAGGGGUAACUGGAAUUCCUGGUGUAGCGGUGAAAUGCGCAGAUAUCAGGAGGAACACCGAUGGCGAAGGCAGGUUACUGGGCAGUUACUGACGCUGAGGAGCGAAAGCAUGGGUAGCGAAC
rnacentral:rRNA from 1 species